CUUCAGUAACUGCAUCGUUUGCAUGACAAUACAUUGUGGCGCCCUGGAAACGUCCCUGUGCCAGCACAUACCUUGGCAACAGGAGCGGUUCAGCAGUGUUCACUGCACAAAUGGGAUGUCUGUGAAUGUCCGUUUCUUGCUCCCAAAGGAUUUCUAGACUUACUUGUAGUUCGAUAAAUGAAGGCUUCCCUCCUUCUUCACCUUGUAUGCUUUUGGGAUAAAUGUUCCUUCUGGUCAGCCAUCUAUAACCCUCGUAACGAUCAGUGUUGCUGACUAGCACAAGUUCUUUCCUGCCACCUCCAGAUUACUGAAGACACUAACCAGCAUGGAUUUAGUAACUGGAGGUGCAUCACUAUAAAAACGUAAUGUUAAUGGCAUAGCAGUAUGUUUGGGGUACAGCACUAAAUGGUGAUGUUGUCCUGCAGGACUUGGUCUCUGGAAUAGUAGCACUGGCGGAUAGUACAUGGAGGCUUGCUCAGGACUUAGGGCAAAAGGAGGUGAAGUGUGUUCUGUUACAUCAACCUUCCAGCUUGAGAUACAGUGUGACAAGUAAUUAUGUUGGCUGUGCCUGCGGCAAGAGGUGUACCUACAUUAAAAGAUCACCCGAGUUUUCUAGUGAGUGCUGGUUUUACAGGCUAAUAUUUUAUUCCCUUUGAGGCUGUUCACUCAAGACCCCUUUUCAGGUCAGAAUUCUCCUUCUUCAGAGCCAGGAAGGGGCUUUCAAGUUUAGUGCGGCUGUCAGGGAUCAAUCUCUUUUACAGUUCCUUCAAGUUCUUUAUGAUGCAGAUGAAUAAUUUCUGUAGAUCCUGAGCCCUGUGUUACGCCAGAGCGGGAGGAGAGUGGCUGCUGUUUUGAACUGUAGAAGCUGUUGACUGACUGGGUGAAAUAACCAGUGACAGCCAUUAAAAAUUGAUCAAGUUAAACGAACUUGGGAAGGAUCCAAAUCUCAGAGGAUCAGUUCGGAUGGUGAAGGCGUUGAGAUUUGCAGGAUAGGGGGUGGAAACAUAUCUGUCUGUAUAAUAUAAGCUGUUGGACGCUGAGGCACACUAAAAGCUAGUUCCUCAGCUCUUGACAGUCUUGGCAAAAGAACCAUAAUAACUUUUCAGAAACUGCUGGUAGAGUAAUUCCUAUCUUCUGCACUGAGUAUUCAUUUACAGCUCAAACUCAUGGUACAAGUAAGUCCUUAAAUAUCACUUGUAGAAUCAGGUCCAAAUUCUGUUUUGUUCUAGCUUUCUCACAUUCAGCCAUGCUGUAUUUGGAAAGCAAUACAAGAAUGUUUAAAAAUAGUAUUUUGGUAGUUCAGGUCAAGCA
rnacentral:lncRNA from 1 species